rnacentral:sRNA from 1 species
AUAAGAUAAAGCUCCAUGUGUUCUCUGCCGUUCUUGCAU